rnacentral:tRNA from 1 species
GUUUAAUUAGUUUAUUAAAAUAGUAAAUUGUGGAUUUACAGAUGAAUUUUCAUUAAACA